CCUCAGUGCUCCCAGCAGACUGAAGGCUUCCAUACUGGAGCACAAGCACUGAACAUCAACCUUAUCUUUGGAAAAGGAGAGCAAAUUUGUACAACUUUUCAUCACGCCUUUUAAUCCCUAUGUAAUUAAACGAAGAAACCACAGGUCUCAUAUAAAGGGACCCCAGCACAGCCAACACAGCAUGGAUCACACCAUGCAGUCACCUGAGCCCUGGAGGAAGGUGAUGGCACCAAGGCUGUGGAUUUCCCUCAUAGCCAGCUCCACAGGAUGCAAAGCCCACGAGAGUUGGUCUCUCUCAAGGCUUAUCAUGGGAAGAUGGCCUCAUCUCAAACCUUCCUGGCUGAUUUCCAGCACUGUACAAUGGAUUAGUCAUCAAAAACCAUGAGGCUAUUUGUUGGAAGGCAGCUAUUAUGAGCUGACUAAUCAUAUACAAAAGAUUAGACCACUUUCCAAAGAUCUAAUUGACCAGAAGAAUCUGUGGUUUCCCCUAUUCUCUUGUUUUUCAUAUCAGCAGUACUGGCAUCCACUAAAAUUUUCUAGCAAACAAAUAUUUUUGAGGCAUUUCAGUUGGAGUAGAAAGCCAGCAUGGAAGAAAGCAGACCAUCAGCUGUUCCACUGAGAAUCCAGCAAAAAGGAACAGUUGAUAUCCUAUUAAUAUAAAUGAGCUCAUUAGUAGCGUUGACUUCAGUCUGAGUUCAGCAGUUCAGAGCCUCUAUUCCAGAACAUAUAGAAUUUAUAUGACAAAAAAUAAAGAGAAAAUGAAGGAAGGAUAUUGCAAGUGUCUGUUUCCCACCCUGGUGCCAGGGUAGAUGAACGGAAGGUAAGACAGGAGGCUGCACUGACCGGGCUGGAUUCAGAGCUGUAAGAAGAUUUUUCAGACAUACUAAGGCAAAUAAAGAGGAUUUCCAAGACAGCAAGUAUCCCAUACUGUGUUGCAGUUUUUUAAAUAUAUGCCUACAUUAUGAGUAAUCUGUGCAGUAGAUACAUUCAUAGAGUUCCAUAAUAAACUUGCAGAAC